UACGGAGGGAGCUAGCGUUGUUCGGAAUUACUGGGUGUAAAGCGCACGUAGGCGGCUUUGUAAGUCAGAGGUGAAAGCCUGGAGCUCAACUCCAGAACUGCCUUUGAGACUGCAUCGCUUGAAUCCAGGAGAGGUGAGUGGAAUUCCGAGUGUAGAGGUGAAAUUCGUAGAUAUUCGGAAGAACACCAGUGGCGAAGGCGGCUCACUGGACUGGUAUUGACGCUGAGGUGCGAAAGCGUGGGGGGAGCAAACAGGAUUAGAUACCCUGGUGUCCACGCCGUAAACGAUGAUAACUAGCUGUCCGGGCACUUGGUGCUUGGGUGCGCAGCUAACGCAUUAAGUUAUCCGCCUGGGGAUACGGUCGCAAGAUUAAAACCUCAA
rnacentral:rRNA from 1 species